rnacentral:lncRNA from 1 species
CACGGGCAUGAGUAAUGGGAGUCUCUUUUCUUUUCUUCCCAUUCAAGAACAAGCCAGGACAAGUGAUUCUGGAAAAGGGGAGGGGACUGGCGAGGGGGAGAGGAUACUUACGCGGUGCAGAGGGCAGUGGGACCGAGCGUGGUUUUGCCGGCAGGGAGAGGAGAACACGCGCGCGCACACACGCGGCGGUGUCUUGCGGGUGAUGAAUGUGAUAAUUGGACCGGGGCCGAUACAGCUGAUCGAGUUCACCUGGUGGCCGAGCUUGGAGCAGACUUGGGUGGAGAAAGGAUUCAAACAUUGA